rnacentral:rRNA from 1 species
CAAACUGGGAUUAGAUACCCCACUAUGCUUUAGAAUAAACCACGAUUAAACCUAAACAAUUAAUCCGCCAGAGAAUUACGGGUGAAAGCCUAAAACUCAAAAGACUUGACGGUGUCCCAAUUCUGCCUAGAGGAGCCUGUUUCAUAAUCGAUAACCCCCGUUCAACCCAACCCCUCCUUGUAAAUCCCUCAGCCUAUAUACCGCCGUCUUUACUCUAGCUUACCUUAUGAAAGACUAACAGUAAGCUUAAUAGUCCCCUAACUAGUAAAUCAGGUCAAGGUGUAGCUUAUGGAGAGGAGAAAAUGGGCUACAUUUUCUACCACAGAAUACUACGAAAAAUAUUCUGAAAUAAAGUAUAUAAAGGUGGAUUUAGUAGUAAGUCAAAUUAGAGUAUUUGACUAAAUUUAAGCUCUGGGACAUGUACACACCGCCCGUCACCCUCCUCAACUAAAUUAAAUAACUAUAUAAAACAAUGACAUAUACAAGAUGAGGCAAGUCGUAACAGGUAAAGCACGGAAGUGA